AGGGAAGGGUGGCCCAUUGGCUAAGCCUGGCGUCAUUAAAUCCGCACCCCCGUACAGUUUGUCCAUCACCAAGUUUGGGGUAUGCAGUAGAGGGACGAGACGCGGGUGGCGCCAUAGUGUAUAGACUGUAGGGUAUAGACGUCCAUCUGUGCCUGCACCUUGCUCUGGCCGCACCCAGAGAAUUCGUUCGUCGUCGUCAGCAUGUGAACCGACAUAGAUCGUGCCCUGGACAAGGGUUAGAUCCGGUCCUGCGGUAGUCGUGAACCGCGCGGACAUCGUAUUAUCUGGCAGAAGGGAUUUGCGGAGUGCUGUAAGGGUAGUUGCGGCUUCAUUUGGCGGGGCUCCUGGUUGCUCUUGGCUCGUUGCGGCAGUGGGUGUAGGUAUUUCAAUUUUGAAUUGCUGAAUAAUUUGAUCUGCUACUUUCCGCCGGUCAGAAGAGCGGAGGGGUGCGAGCGAUUUGACCUGUUGUUUUUUAGGUGAGCAAGAACACCAUUCCCUGGUGUGUGGCGGAGUGGGAUAAGGAUGAUAAGGAUGAGGGCUAGGAUAACACCUACAACGGGCUUCUUCUUGAACAUGGUGCAGAAUGACCUUAUAUUUUCUGUGAUAUAGGGUUGGGUAAGCUGGGGUGAUGAGGAUUCAAAUCCCUUUCUAUUUUCCCAAGCUUGACCAUCCAAGCUGGUGAGGUGUAUUUCCGAGUAGCUAGCUCUGAUAAGGUUCGAAACAAUAUCACUGAUGUGGGUUUGUGGGAGCCCCGAAGAUACGGGAGCUAGGAUGCUGACUCACAAGCCAGGCUGAACUUCCCCGCCCGCGAGCCUGAUCA
rnacentral:sRNA from 2 species